GAGGUAGAGGAGCAGGCCGCAUCAGUAAUCAACUGGAGGAUGACAACGGAGAUGGUUGGUGAAAGGGUUGUCUGCCGAAGCAUGAAGUAAUGUCAGAUACGGAAAUGCUGGUGUUUUUCCUAAUAGGAAUUACACUGUCAUGCAUACUAAAAAGGAUGCAUGGUGCGCUACUGA
rnacentral:ncRNA from 1 species